rnacentral:rRNA from 1 species
UACAGAGGUCCCAAGCGUUGUUCGGAUUCACUGGGCGUAAAGGGUGCGUAGGCGGUCGGGUAAGUCUGAUGUGAAAUCUCACAGCUUAACUGUGAAACUGCAUUGGAUACUAUCCGGCUCGAGGAAUGGAGGGGAGACUGGAAUUUACGGUGUAGCAGUGAAAUGCGUAGAUAUCGUAAGGAAGACCAGUGGCGAAGGCGAAUCUCUGGACAGUUACUGACACUGAGGCACGAAGGCCAGGGGAGCAAACGGG